UUCAAGAAAAAAAAAGAUCUGGGUCGCUCCUGAUUCAAGAAAACUUGUUCGAGCCCUAUCUGUUCGAAGCAGCAGGGUAGGAUAGGGCGGAGCCGCCGGUGACCCCGGUGGUGGCGGUGGCAGCGGCAGAGGGGGUCGGCAAGGAUGACCGCUGGGGCGAGGAGGCGGAGCCGAUGACCCCGGCGGCGGCAGCGGAGGGGUCCCAGGGGCUCGAGGACCGACGUCUGAUGCAGCCGUGGUUCCUCGCCGUCAAGAGCUAGAUCGAGCGCUCGGCGGUCUAGCCAUCGAGAGGAAGAGCAAGAGCACCUUGCACCGGUUCGGCCAUGGCGUCACGAAGGAGGCGGAGAGAAAGGGCACCGGUGGCCCCGUGAUGGUCGAGGAGGUCGCCGCCUCGUCGUGCAGCGCGCGAUGGUGGACCGAUGGGCGUCCAAGAGGCACUUGACCUUGCCGGAUCACGCUGCUGCUGGCGUAAUCCAGGCCGGAUCUGUGGAGAGCCCGGCGCAGCACCGUCUACAGGUCCAUAUCUCUUAGUCUUACUCUACCUUAUUCCUUGUAAGUUCACGGCUUCCAUUGCUCUUCAGUUCUGGUAAGUUGUUGGAAACUGUAAAAGUAUCUGACGAAGCACAUGAGCUUUCCACAGUGGCCAUGUAACUAAGUUCUGAAUGUUGCUUCGUUAUGCUUAAUGGAGCAGGUGGGCAACUCCCUUUUGUCUAAGAUUUUGCAAGUCUGUGAUAUCUGUAUUAUGUAAAACAGGUCAUGACUGAUUCUUCAGUUACUGAUUCGAUUUUUUUGCUUCCAAUGUUUUGUUAGAUUGAUAAGGGCCGGAGCUUCAAUGACAAAUCUACUAUUCAGCACACAGCCCAACUCGACAGGCAUUAGCCAUGUCAACAUGCACUCAGGGGCAUGCUCGCCUUGGCAGUCAUCAAGGUGGCAAUAGAACACUUGAAUUCUACCAUUUCAGGCGAGAUCAAGCUGCACAGGAAAAUGAGGAACGAUCUGGAGAACAUGAAGAUGACGCUGGAGUCGGUGGAUGUUGUGCUCCGCGACGCUGAGAGGGAGUCUAUCAAGCAUAAGUCCAUGCUUCUGUGGCUGAAGCAACUUAAGGAUGCCGCGAUCGACAUCUCUCACAUGCUUGAAGAUUUUGAAGAUGAAACCGACCUCAACCUGGUAUUUGGCAAUGUUGGCUCUUGAGCUGCCCAAUUGAUCACUGAAGCUGGUGGCAAGGUGGUCUCCAUCAGAGAUGUCACAGGGGCUGUCAAGAACUCCAAUGGCAUUGACAUAGCCAAGCUGAUGAAGCACUCGGCAGAGAACCGCGGGAUCAAGGGCUCCGACAAAAGGCGAUGCCGUCGACCCGACCUCGCUGCUCAUGGAAGAGUGCGAUGUGCUCAUCCCGGCAGCUCUGGGAGGAGUCAUAAACAAUAGAGAAGUGUACAUGUUCGCGCUGAAGAUUCUGGCAAAGAAGGGCGUGCUGAUCCUACCGGACAUCGUGGCCAACUCCGGCGGAGUGAUGGUGAGCUACUUCGAGUGGGUGCAGAACAUCCAGGGGUCCAUGUGGGACGAGGAGAACGUGAAUCCGGAGCUCAAGAUGUACAUGACCCGCGCCUCAAACAUAGUUCUGAUUAUUUAGGCAGUGUAUGGCGCCGUAUAAAAUGGGCAGUAAUUAUGUAUAGUAUAUCUUCAAAAACCAGAAUUGGCUCAAUUUGGAACAGUGCCUGCUUUAUAUGAAUUUCUUGCUCGCUUUGCACGCGUUGCUACAAGUGCAUUACCAUGCCUCAGCCAUAAUCAUCCUUGACAAAUAUGGCAAUCACCUUUAGUAUGGA